rnacentral:rRNA from 1 species
AAAGGAAUUGACGGGGACCCGCACAAGCGGAGGAACAUGUGGUUCAAUUCGAUGAUACGCGAGGAACCUUACCUGGGCUUAAAUGCAGAACGACAGGCUGGGAAACUGGCCCUUCUUCGGACGGUCUGCAAGGUGCUGCAUGGUUGUCGUCAGCUCGUGCCGUGAGGUGUCGGGUUAAGUCCCAUAACGAGCGCAACCCUUAUCGUUAGUUGCCAACGGGUCAUGCCGGGGACUCUAACGAAACUGCCGGCGUAAGCCGUGAGGAAGGUGGGGAUGACGUCAAAUCAGCACGGCCCUUAUGUCCAGGGCUACACACGUGUUACAAUGGCCGGAACAAAGGGCUGCUAUGCCGCGAGGCAAUGCUAAUCUCUAAAACCGGUCUCAGUUCGGAUCGAAGUCUGCAAUUCGACUUCGUGAAGUUGGAUUCGCUAGUAAUCGCGCAUCAGCAAUGGCGCGGUGAAUACGUUCCCGGGUCUUGUACACACCGCCCGU